CUCGUGGUUAGAUUCACGCGCGCGGGCUGGAAACGGUUGGGCUGGCAGAUUUUUCCCGCCAUGGCAGUUGUCCUGAUUUGAGCAGUUUUUGCAAUCCGCAGAGUUCCCUGGUUCUACUUACCUUUACUACCAGUUCGCAACGGGAUCAGAAACAGAAGCUUUUGCGCAUGCGCAGAUCGCCGAUGACGACAUCCGGGGCUGUCAGUGGACCGGGUCUUGCGAACCUAUCCGAACUGGGGGCAACCCACCACUGGUUGCCAAGCUCUAAUUCCCAUUCUGAGCUAGAGCCGAAUUUAAACUCUUGCUUCUGAAGUUUACAGCUCUCUGAUCACAGUCCCCCAAUAUCAGUUUUCCCUUAUUUUGCCUUACAAUCUGGGUUGUUCUUUAUUUCUUAUUUUUGUUUCCCUGAUCCAGGAAAACAGUCUAAACUUAGCUUUGUGGUUUCAAGGACUUGGCUCUGGGAUUCUGAAUUCAGCUGCCUCCUUCCCUUCGCCUCUGUGAAAAUCUGAGAAUCUUUGAAAGGGAUCUAAGGAUCUUUUCACUAGUGUGUUCAUGUGGGGCCUGCCAUCAAAAUUGCUACUGUACAGGUUGUAUUUAUUGUACAGUAUAUUAAUCGUGUGUGUAUGUGUAACUCUUCAGGAUGAGAGGACACUUUUUGAAAGCUACACAUAUGGUUGUUGUGUUAGAAUUUUUUUGGUUACAAAUAUUAAUUUAUCUCGGUUGUUAAAUUGUGAACUGCAUGGAAUUUUACAGCUAUUAUUUUUCUUUUGAUUUAUACUGGGUCUUGGCAAAAAUGUAUCAUCACCACCUUCUGGUCACUUUAAAAUGUGCAUCAGUACAGUAGAUGGCACUAUAGGACAACGUAUUUACCAACAGUUUACUCUGAGCUAAAAAGGUCCAUUUCCAAAGGUAUUUUUUCCUUCCAGUUUGCAGCUGAAUGUAUGUGUAACAUAUCCAUAAAUGCAGUAUUUCCUUCCCUUUAAAGUCUUAACUUGUAAAGCAAUAAAAUUGAGAUAUAA